UACGGAGGGUGCAAGCGUUGUCCGGAUUUAUUGGGUUUAAAGGGUGCGUAGGCGGCCUUAUAAGUCAGUGGUGAAAGCCCAUCGCUCAACGAUGGAACUGCCAUUGAUACUGUAAGGCUUGAGUACAGACGAGGUAGGCGGAAUUGAUGGUGUAGCGGUGAAAUGCAUAGAUACCAUCAAGAACACCGAUUGCGUAGGCAGCUUACUAGGCUGUAACUGACGCUGAGGCACGAAAGCGUGGGGAGCAAACAGG
rnacentral:rRNA from 1 species